GUGCCCAUCCCAAGCGAAUCCGUGCUUUCGGGUGGCAACACAGGAGGGAAGAGCAUUCCUCUCACUGAAACCUGGGGCAGGGUCGUUGCUCUCUGCUUUCGGAUCCUGUCGUGGGAGACACGU